rnacentral:rRNA from 1 species
AUAUUGGUCAAUGGGCGUAAGCCUGAACCAGCCAAGUCGCGUGAGGGAUGAAGGUUCUAUGGAUCGUAAACCUCUUUUAUAAGGGAAUAAAGUGCGGGACGUGUCCUGUUUUGUAUGUACCUUAUGAAUAAGGAUCGGCUAACUCCGUGCCAGCAGCCGCGGUAAUACGGAGGAUCCGAGCGUUAUCCGGAUUUAUUGGGUUUAAAGGGUGCGUAGGCGGCCUUUUAAGUCAGCGGUGAAAGUCUGUGGCUCAACCAUAGAAUUGCCGUUGAAACUGGGGGGCUUGAGUAUGUUUGAGGCAGGCGGAAUGCGUGGUGUAGCGGUGAAAUGCUUAGAUAUCACGCAGAACCCCGAUUGCGAAGGCAGCCUGCCAAGCCAUGACUGACGCUGAUGCACGAAAGCGUGGGGAUCAAACAGGAUUAGAUACCCUGGUAGUCCACGCAGUAAACGAUGAUCACUAGCUGUUUGCGAUACAGUGUAAGCGGCACAGCGAAAGCGUUAAGUGAUCCACCUGGGGAGUACGCCGGCAACGGUGAAACUCAAAGGAAUUGACGGGGGCCCGCACAAGCGGAGGAACAUGUGGUUUAAUUCGAUGAUACGCGAGGAACCUUACCCGGGUUUGAACGCAUUCGGACCGAGGUGGAAACACCUUUUCUAGCAAUAGCCGUUUGCGAGGUGCUGCAUGGUUGUCGUCAGCUCGUGCCGUGAGGUGUCGGCUUAAGUGCCAUAACGAGCGCAACCCUUGCCACUAGUUACUAACAGGUGAUGCUGAGGACUCUGGUGGGACUGCCAGCGUAAGCUGCGAGGAAGGCGGGGAUGACGUCAAAUCAGCACGGCCCUUACAUCCGGGGCGACACACGUGUUACAAUGGCGUGGACAAAGGGAGGCCACCUGGCGACAGGGAGCGAAUCCCCAAACCCGCUCUCAGUUCGGAUCGGAGUCUGCAACCCGACUCCGUGAAGCUGGAUUCGCUAGUAAUCGCGCAUCAGC